rnacentral:rRNA from 1 species
CUGCUGCCUCCCGUAGGAGUCUGGGCCGUGUCUCAGUCCCAGUGUGGCCGUCCACCCUCUCAGGCCGGCUGCUGAUCGUCGCUUUGGUGGGCCGUUACCCCGCCAACUGGCUAAUCAGACGCGGGCCCAUCCUGUACCACCGGAGUUUUCAAAGGAUUACCAUGCGGUAUUCCCUAUUAUGCGGUAUUAGCACCUAUUUCUAAGUGUUAUCCCCGGUACAAGGGGCAGGUUGCCCACGCGUUACUCACCCGUCCGCCACUAA